rnacentral:rRNA from 1 species
GCAAGUCUGGUGCCAGCAGCCGCGGUAAUUCCAGCUCCAAUAGCGUAUAUUAAAGUUGUUGCAGUUAAAAAGCUCGUAGUUGAAUUUCGGGAUCAAUAUUUCGGUCAUGCCGUUGGUAUGCACUGUUAUCAUUGAUUUCUCACCUUCUAAAGAACCAUAAUGCCAUUAAUUUGGUGUUACGGGGAAUUAGGACUGUUACCUUGAAAAAAUUAGAGUGUUUAAAGCAGGCUCACGCUUGGAUACAUUAGCAUGGAAUAAUGAAAUAGGACAUCCGAUUCUAUUUUGUUGGUUUCUAGGAUCGAUGUAAUGAUUAAUAGGGAUAGUUGGGGGCAUUAGUAUUCAAUUGUCAGAGGUGAAAUUCUUGGAUUUAUUGAAGACUAACUACUGCGAAAGCAUUUGCCAAGGAUGUUUUCAUUAAUCAAGAACGAAAGUUAGGGGAUCGAAGACGAUCAGAUACCGUCGUAGUCUUAACCAUAAACUAUGCCGACUAGGGAUCGGAUGAUGUUAAUUUUUUAAUGACUCAUUCGGCGCCUUACGGGAAAC